AUAAAACCAGCUCCUUUCUCCCAAUAAAUGCUUCAGUGCUGCUUCCGGGGCUGAGGCUGCACCUCCUCCAUUUACACCCCAGCGGUGCAGAGGGACCAAGAUUAGAGCAGACUCUUCGCAGCUCUCGCUCCCGUCCAGCCCACCAUGUUUUCAUUCAUGGCAAUCGUGGCUCUAUUGGCAGCUAUAGUAUGGAGAAAUUUUGAAAAAAGCUAUAGAGCAUGAAUGCCGGGGGUGCACGUUUCCAUGCUGGGGCUGCAUAAAUGGCCUGACUCUGCCUUUUGAGCAGCAGCCGAUUGCAUGCUGGAGCAGAAACAGCUCCCUAUGUUCAAUGCAAGGGAGCAAAAGCAAGAUUCCUUCCUUCCAAGCACACGGAUUCGUCUUCAAACGGCUGGUGUUGGAAAGUCCAAUCCCUCCCACAGCUUCUGCUUUCAAUGAUUUGGAAUUAAGCAAAAAAUAAGCAAUAAAUGAGCAGUGCUGGCA